rnacentral:rRNA from 1 species
UACGUAGGUGGCAAGCGUUGUCCGGAUUUAUUGGGUUUAAAGGGUGCGUAGGCGGUUUUAUAAGUCAGUGGUGAAAUACAACCGCUUAACUGUUGAGGUGCCAUUGAUACUGUAAAACUUGAGUACAGACGAGGUAGGCGGAAUUGACGGUGGAGCGGUGAAAUGCUUAGAUAGCGUCAAGAACACCGAUAGCGAAGGCAGCUUACUAGACUGUAACUGACGCUGAGGCACGAAAGUGUGGGGAUCAAACAGG